rnacentral:rRNA from 1 species
AUCAGUAAGAAACCCAUA